ACGAACGCUGGCGGCGUGCCUAAUACCUGCAAGUUGAGCGAUGAAGAUUGGUGCUUGCCCCAAUUUGAAGAGCAGCGAACGGGUGAGUAACGCGUGGGGAAUCUGCCUUUGAGCGGGGGACAACAUUUGGAAACGAAUGCUAAUACCGCAUAACAACUUUAAACAUAAGUUUUAAGUUUGAAAGAUGCAAUUGCAUCACUCAAAGAUGAUCCCGCGUUGUAUUAGCUAGUUGGUGAGGUAAAGGCUCACCAAGGCGAUGAUACAUAGCCGACCUGAGAGGGUGAUCGGCCACAUUGGGACUGAGACACGGCCCAAACUCCUACGGGAGGCAGCAGUAGGGAAUCUUCGGCAAUGGACGAAAGUCUGACCGAGCAACGCCGCGUGAGUGAAGAAGGUUUUCGGAUCGUAAAACUCUGUUGGUAGAGAAGAACGUUGGUGAGAGUGGAAAGCUCAUCAAGUGACGGUAACUACCCAGAAAAGGACGGCUAACUACGU
rnacentral:rRNA from 1 species